rnacentral:misc_RNA from 1 species
AACGCACAUUGCGCCCCUUGGUAUUCCAUGGGGCAUGCCUGUUCGAGCGUCAUUUCAACCAUCAAGCCCCAGGCUUGUGUUGGGGACCUGCGGCUGCCGCAGGCCCUGAAAACCAGUGGCGGGCUCGCUGUCACACCGGGCGUAGUAGAUUUUAUCUCGCUCAGGGCGUGCUGCGGGUUCCGGCCGUUAAAAAGCCUUUUUUACCCAAGGUUGACCUCGGAUCAGGUAGGAAUACCCGCUGAACUUAA